UACGUAGGGUGCAAGCGUUGUCCGGAAUCAUUGGGCGUAAAGCGCGCGUAGGUGGCUUCGUAAGUCCGUUGUGAAAGUCAAAGGCUCAACCUUUGAAUGCCGAUGGAUACUGCGAAGCUAGAGUACGGAAGAGGCGAGUGGAAUUCCUGGUGUAGCGGUGGAAUGCGCAGAUAUCAGGAGGAACACCAAUGGCGAAGGCAGCUCGCUGGGACGGUACUGACGCUGAGGCGCGAAAGCGUGGGGAGCAAACAGG
rnacentral:rRNA from 1 species